UGGAUUUUGAUGGAACAAGUUCAGAUCUAAAUAAACAAUCAUGUUUUGUGUUUAUUUCAUUAGUAGAUCUGAUACUUUUAUGGUUUGUUUUUCAGUUUUCUUUUGUUAUUAUCAAUUGUUGAUAAACAUCACUGUCCAGAGUUCGUCCUAGAUUUUAUACUUCUCUUGCUGUUUUAAAAGUUUGUGGGAAUAUAGUUGAUGAAAAGAAUGUACACAGUUGGGUUUUGCUUAGAUUUGUUUAUAGACCUUCUUUGAUUCAUAUGUGUAGUAUUUGAAUUUUAUGUUUGUUAGUGAUGUUGUGAAGUGUUUGAUGAAUAAGUGUUCUUGAAAUGCAUUAGAAGCGUUGGGUAUCUUUAGAGAGAUGAGAAUUGAAGGAGUUAAAUUGGAAUUGCAUGACUGUAUCUUACUCAUUGCUGGUGCUCCACUUGGUGAAGAAUUGAAGGGGAUUUUGAUUCAUGUGUGAAGGUGGGAACCCGUUCUGCGUUACUCAACUUUGGAACAUGUAUGUUGCUCGGAUUUUGUUGCUUUUGUCAUACAUACCAAAAUAAAUAGAAUAAUAGCUUGGUGCAUCUUCUCGAUGUUGUUUACUGCUCUGGAACUGUUAUCCUCAACUGGAUAGAUAGACCUCACCCUGUGUAGUUUCUUAAAUGCCAAAUGGCCUAAUGUAGGCUCAUGGGCAUGCGGAUAAGUAAAAGAUUUGUACUCUACCUGGAAGCAGUGCAGCAAAUAUGUACUCGAAUUUGCUAGCAUU